CUACGUGCUCCAGCCCUCCGAGCCCUCUUCAGCCCACCAAGCUCCCGAUUUGAACAUCUCCUGGAGGCACCCCCUCCCUGGGGCGGGGGCCUGGCCCCCCUGAAGUACCCCACUUCACUGCAGUCCUCUGCGUCUCCUAGGGCCAGCUCCCCACACAACCCGGAUCAGCCUGGAGCACACGCAGUGCUCCUCGAAGCUCCCCCGCACCAAGUCAGCAUACAGAUGGGGCCGCUGAGAGACGGCAGAGAAGAGAAUGUUCCAGGGCUGAGUUGGCCUGUCAGGGAGAAGAUGGCUUCUCGCGGGUGGGGUGGGGGUUCACAGCUGCCUCUGCCAGUUUGCAAAGAAGAGUCUUCACUGAAGCUUUGAAUACAGCGUCCUCACACAUGAGCAGAGAUGGAGAGACCCCGAGAGACCUCGGCUGCUGGUGUCCACUUGUCCUCUCCUCAGGGACUCCGAGGUCUGUCAUCUGUGAUCGGGAUUUCCUGCACUCUCUGGGAUUGCUGGAAAGUCACCUGAGCUUGAACCUGGUCCCUUGAGCACUGUGGGGUUCACCCUUGAGCACCGCAGGAGGGCCGAGAACUGCUAGAAGGAGUCCAGGGAGCUUCCCCGAGCAACGCCAGUGCAGUGAUAUGAUGGUGACGCCAUGCCCUGCUACUAAGGUGCUUCAAAGCCUGCAGAAGCCUGUCCUGCGCUUCCUGUUGUGUCACUUAGCACGUUGCUUUUCACCAAUGGCCUUCAAUGCCACUAGGGCUAAGCAGUCGCUAAAGUUGCAGUCAAAGUGGCACCUUCCACGUGGGGCCACUCCCAGUUACACCUGGCCAGCUGGGCUGGACAGAUCCACUUGCGGGACCAGGGAUGUGAUGCGAUAUGGGCCCAGCAGUGCUGGGGUCGAGGUGGAUCUUUGAUUUUCGUUUAAUUUGGUUUUGGACCACGCCCAGUGAUGCUCAGGGCUCACUUCUGGCUCUGCGCUCAGGGGCCCCUAUGUCGUGCAGGUAUCCAACCGGUCAUCUGCGAGCAAAGCCAGAGCCUUCACUGACGUCCUUCCCCUCCAGCCCCACUACAUGGGGUCCGAGUGCAAGCAGGCAAGUACCCACAAUGGCUGGGCUCUCUCCCUUGCCCUGACUUCUGAUUCCCAAACUUCCACGAGGGAGGCUGAGUGAAGGAGGGUGGCAGGCUCACCCUGCUGACGUGUGUCCUUUCCCAUGAAGACACUGGUGAGCGCUCCUACGUAAGAGCUUAGAUGAGGCAGCCAACUGCCCUGCUGGCCAUCCGGAUUAAUGCCUCAUGCAUUGCUGGAAAAGCUGGUGGACAGACUCAGAAAGAGACCCUGCCCGCCCUCUUGCCAUCUGGCUGCUGCUCUGUGGUAUGUAGGAGGACGCCGUUGGUCAGCAGCUUCAUGUCCAUAGGGGAUACUACAGGACUGAGCACUGGUGUGGUGGUCCCUGG